rnacentral:sRNA from 1 species
CUUCCGAUGUAGACCCGUAUUCUUCGCCUGUACCACGGGUCGGUUUUAGUACAGGCGUUUUCUUU